rnacentral:rRNA from 1 species
GUUACCGAAUUCAGACAAACUCCGAAUGCCAAUUAAUUUAACUUGGGAGUCAGAACAUGGGUGAUAAGGUCCGUGUUCGAAAGGGAAACAGCCCAGACCACCAGCUAAGGUCCCAAAAUAUAUGUUAAGUGGAAAAGGAUGUGGCGUUGCCCAGACAACUAGGAUGUUGGCUUAGAAGCAGCCAUCAUUUAAAGAGUGCGUAAUAGCUCACUAGUCGAGUGACACUGCGCCGAAAAUGUACCGGGGCUAAACAUAUUACCGAAGCUGUGGAUUGUCCUUUGGACAAUGGUAGGAGAGCGUUCUAAGGGCGUUGAAGCAUGAUCGUAAGGACAUGUGGAGCGCUUAGAAGUGAGAAUGCCGGUGUGAGUAGCGAAAGACGGGUGAGAAUCCCGUCCACCGAUUGACUAAGGUUUCCAGAGGAAGGCUCGUCCGCUCUGGGUUAGUCGGGUCCUAAGCUGAGGCCGACAGGCGUAGGCGAUGGAUAACAGGUUGAUAUUCCUGUACCACCUAUAAUCGUUUUAAUCGAUGGGGGGACGCAGUAGGAUAGGCGAAGCGUGCGAUUGGAUUGCACGUCUAAGCAGUAAGGCUGAGUAUUAGGCAAAUCCGGUACUCGUUAAGGCUGAGCUGUGAUGGGGAGAAGACAUUGAGUCUUCGAGUCGUUGAUUUCACACUGCCGAGAAAAGCCUCUAGAUAGAAAAUAGGUGCCCGUACCGCAAACCGACACAGGUAGUCAAGAUGAGAAUUCUAAGGUGAGCGAGCGAACUCUCGUUAAGGAACUCGGCAAAAUGACCCCGUAACUUCGGGAGAAGGGGUGCUCUUUAGGGUUAACGCCCAGAAGAGCCGCAGUGAAUAGGCCCAAGCGACUGUUUAUCAAAAACACAGGUCUCUGCUAAACCGUAAGGUGAUGUAUAGGGGCUGACGCCUGCCCGGUGCUGGAAGGUUAAGAGGAGUGGUUAGCUUCUGCGAAGCUACGAAUCGAAGCCCCAGUAAACGGCGGCCGUAACUAUAACGGUCCUAAGGUAGCGAAAUUCCUUGUCGGGUAAGUUCCGACCCGCACGAAAGGCGUAACGAUUUGGGCACUGUCUCAACGAGAGACUCGGUGAAAUCAUAGUACCUGUGAAGAUGCAGGUUACCCGCGACAGGACGGAAAGACCCCGUGGAGCUUUACUGUAGCCUGAUAUUGAAAUUCGGCACAGCUUGUACAGGAUAGGUAGGAGCCUUUGAAACGUGAGCGCUAGCUUACGUGGAGGCGCUGGUGGGAUACUACCCUAGCUGUGUUGGCUUUCUAACCCGCACCACUUAUCGUGGUGGGAGACAGUGUCAGGCGGGCAGUUUGACUGGGGCGGUCGCCUCCUAAAAGGUAACGGAGGCGCUCAAAGGUUCCCUCAGAAUGGUUGGAAAUCAUUCAUAGAGUGUAAAGGCAUAAGGGAGCUUGACUGCGAGACCUACAAGUCGAGCAGGGUCGAAAGACGGACUUAGUGAUCCGGUGGUUCCGCAUGGAAGGGCCAUCGCUCAACGGAUAAAAGCUACCCCGGGGAUAACAGGCUUAUCUCCCCCAAGAGUUCACAUCGACGGGGAGGUUUGGCACCUCGAUGUCGGCUCAUCGCAUCCUGGGGCUGUAGUCGGUCCCAAGGGUUGGGCUGUUCGCCCAUUAAAGCGGUACGCGAGCUGGGUUCAGAACGUCGUGAGACAGUUCGGUCCCUAUCCGUCGUGGGCGUAGGAAAUUUGAGAGGAGCUGUCCUUAGUACGAGAGGACCGGGAUGGACAUACCUCUGGUGUACCAGUUGUCGUGCCAACGGCAUAGCUGGGUAGCUAUGUGUGGACGGGAUAAGUGCUGAAAGCAUCUAAGCAUGAAGCCCCCCUCAAGAUGAGAUUUCCCAACUUCGGUUAUAAGAUCCCUCAAAGAUGAUGAGGUUAAUAGGUUCGAGGUGGAAGCAUGGUGACAUGUGGAGCUGACGAAUACUAAUCGAUCGAAGACUUAAUCAA